UGGCUGUAGUUAGAUCAAAUUUCACUUUCAAAAUUAACAUUUGGUAUAUUCUUUCUCUUUCAGUGCAACUAGAUGUGUUGAUGCUAAGAGGCCAAAAUCUUUUCUGCUGCAGCUUGCCUCUGUGUAAGACUGUUGAUGAGUCAAAUUCUCUGGGAUGCUCAGGAUCCAGACAGGCAUCACAUGUUUUGCUUCUGACCCACAAUGACGUCUCCCUGGCCAUCUCCUGCAACUUAGUUGGGGCACACUCCUGUACCCUUUGGAUACUCUGGAAAAUACCCUGCAGGGCUUGGGCACUUGUGAAGGCUUUCAGAUCCACUGCACUUCAUUACACCUUUUGAACAAGAAAUGUCUGCUAUCUAUGGUGAAAUCACCGUAGUUAUUUUGGUGGCAAGAGCACUUACAAGGCAGUCUUCACAGGAGAAGCAAAGUGUAAGACUAUGGUAAAAAACCCUCCAGAAACACUGUAAAUGUGAGAUCUGAAGAUAACAGAACUAGGUUUCUAGUUCUAGAGAACUAGAAACUCACUAGACAGUGAGUUUCAUUGCUUCAGCCUUUUGGAAAAGGACCAACUCUGCAGCUGCUCAGUGUAUGAUGCACACAGGGAUCAGGCAUGUUGGGGGAUGUUAUUCUCAAGGCCCUACAUUUAGGAUUUGAAAUAUCUCUUUGUAUUGGAAAUUAAUUUUAAACAAAUUGAUUGGGCCACAGCUGAGCCAUUCUCUGAAGUUUGCAGGUAAAGCAUAAAAUGCCACCCAAAAAAAAAAACCAAGAAAAGAAAGAGUCUCUCCUGACUGUCCAGCUGACACAAAUCUCUUCUUCUUGAAUCAGGAGUGAAACCUUUGUCAAGCAAUACCAAGGAGCAGCCACGUCAUUUGGGCUCUGGUUACGUUUUCCCUGGAAGCAAGAGCUCACAACACUUGGAGAGAAUCCACAGCUGUCUUUGCAAGGUCAUUGACUUAAAAGUUAAUCAUAGUUUUGGCUCCAGAUGGCUACAGUGCAUCUGCUUCUCCGUCUGUGGGAGUCUUAAAGG